GAUGCUGUUCGUCGGGCGGCCGGGGCUUCCCGCGGGUGACAGGUCCCGGCUCGCGGCUCGCUGCCGGCACUCAGGUGCGGGAGGGGAACUCGGUUAUUCCGCUUGCUCCCACCGCUGUUUAAUUCCACAAUGAAGACCUGCCUGGCAUUUAGCCCGACCGUUAACAUCCAUUCAGAUCUUGGAAACGUAAAAUUCCUGCUAGGGAAAAUGUCGGCCACCCAGCGAGUCCCGGGAAGUCCGGUUUACCGGUACAUUUUGCAGCGCGAGAAGGAAAAAUGGAGUGUCAUUUGCAGAUGUCUCUGGAGUGGCCAAUUCUAUUCUCAUAUCAUUUCCGGUCUCUCGCUUUCUUUUUAAGAGUGUUACUGAUUUUAACCUAACAGGUGUGAGGAAUGCCUGAAAAAAAUCAUAAACUUUUGCAAAUGGAUAGAAACUAAGCAGUAAUUUUCCUUGGAACGCACGAAUUUAAAUGGACGCUUUGGCAGAUACAGCUCUGUGCCGCUUUGGGACUACAUCGGUUUUGAUUCCGUCUAUAUUGGUCAUUUUUUAAAGGCUGUAGACUUUGCCGAUAUAUAGUGAAAUGUUGAUUUAUUGAAAUUCAGAGCAAUAAUAUCCUUGCUGCGUAAACUGCACGGGUCUUUAAGCUCCAGACGUUUUCAAUUAGCCCCAUCUCAGGUCUCUCGACAAAAACAAAAAACAAUAUAUGUAGUCAUUUAACUUUAAAAUACAACCCUACCCAUGGUGCAAAAUAUCAUCGAGACUAUCAGGGUAACAUUUUCUCAUAUUUCAGAAGGCCAACUUAAAGAAUCAUUACUGGGAAAGCUGACUCAAUUUUCUAUAUUAUAGAAGAUAUUCGGUUCUAAAUACUACUUUUUUAAUACAAAAAUUAUUUAUUUAUUUGAAAAUUCUUAUCGUGCCAGGAACUAGGACAAAGAUUAAGAAUACCAAGAUGGCAAAGUGGGCCAGGCCCUCAGUCCAGUGGUACUGCUCCUCAUUCAUCCCUCUGUAAUGUUCGAAAUCCAGAUUUGAGGUGAUGCCAGAUAUUUUCUGAGAAUGAUGGUCGUCAGACAUCCUUGUUGUCUCAUCCAAAAUCUACUAAAAAUAUCCUGAGAUCUAAGAAAUUGAAAAAAUACUAAAUCGAAAAAGUGACCAACCGUUUGGUUUCACUUGAGCCUUAGGGUGAAAACAAUUGAUCAUAGGGUGAUACCAAUCAACAAUUAACACUUAAUCGUUGGUUGUUUUCUUUAGGAUUAGCACUACACUAGAUGGUGUAGGAUUUUCAAGUCUCUUAAGAGGAAAUAAAGGCUAAACUCUAUGGUAUAGGUUUACAAGUGCUAAGUAAGUUUCAAGGUAAGAAAACUUCAAAUACAGUCAAAAUCCACACCCACACUGCCUGUAACCUUACAGUG
rnacentral:lncRNA from 1 species